GGGCUCGUAGCUCAGUUGGUUAGAGCGCAUCCCUGAUAAGGAUGAGGUCCGAGGUUCGAAUCCUCGCGGGCCCA
rnacentral:tRNA from 1 species